GUCCUUUUGAUUAUUAUUUAAGGUUGGGCCUGCCCGAUGAGGAUUUGAAUGGCCGCAGUAAUUUGACUGUGCUAAGGUAGCAUAAUCAUUAGUUUCUUAAUUAGAAGCUGGUAUGAAAGGUUUGAUGAAGGGAUGGCUGUCUCUGAUAUUUUUAUAGAAUUUUAUUUUUGAGUAAAAAAGCUUAAAUUUUAUUGAAAGACGAGAAGACCCUAUAGAGUUUUAUAUAUUAGGUUGUUACAUAUUUUUGAAGUCUAUUUAGUGUAAUAAAUUAAUUUAUUUGGUUGGGGUGAUUGUAAAAUUAGUUAAACUUUUAAUAUGCAUAAUUCACUGAUAUGUGUUUUAAUGAUCCAAUAAUUUUGAUUAAAAGAGUAAAUUACCUUAGGGAUAACAGCGUAAUCUUUUUUCAGAGUUCAAAUCGAUAAAAGGGGUUGCGA
rnacentral:rRNA from 1 species